UGUGUGGUUUGCCUUAAGUUGUGU
rnacentral:piRNA from 1 species